UACGUAGGGUGCAAGCGUUACUCGGAAUUAUUGGGCGUAAAGCGCGCGCAGGCGGUCCUUUAAGUCUGAUGUGAAAGCCCACGGCUCAACCGUGGAGGGUCAUUGGAAACUGGGGGACUUGAGUACAGAAGAGAAGAGUGGAAUUCCACGUGUAGCGGUGAAAUGCGUAGAGAUGUGGAGGAACACCAGUGGCGAAGGCGACUCUUUGGUCUGUAACUGACGCUGAGGCGCGAAAGCGUGGGGAGCAAACAGG
rnacentral:rRNA from 1 species